GGACAACUUUCCGAGGGAAUGCUUAUACCGCAACGCCCUACGGGGGAAGGCAGGGGAUCUUCAGACCUUGUCCUCUUUGAUGAGCCUCCGUCGGAUUAUCUCUUUGGUGGGGUAAAGGCCUACCCCGGCGACAAUAUGUAUAGCGUCUCAGAGGAUGAUCCCCCACACUGGGACUGAGACACACCCCCCACUCCUACACGAGGGGCCACUGGGGAAUAUUGGACAAUGGGCGGAAAACUGAUCCACCCAUGCCCCGCGUGUGAAGAAAGCCUUUUGGUUGUAAAGCACUUUAAGCGAUGAGGAGGCUCUGACGGUUAAUACCCUUGAUGACUGGACUUUACUCGUGCAAUAAGCACCGGCUAUAUCUGUGCCGCCAGCCUUGUUCAUAUUUACGGUGCGAGCGUUAAUCGUAUUUACUGGUCUUAAAGCGAGGUUAAGCCCCUGAUUUAAUCUGAUGUGAAAUCCCUGAGCUUAACUUACUAAUUGGAUUCAAUACUGGUCGGAUUUCCUAUGGGAGAGGAUGGUAGAAUUCCGAGUGUAACGAACAAAUGCGUAGAGAUCU
rnacentral:rRNA from 1 species